GAUGAACGCUGGCGGCGUGCCUAAUACAUGCAAGUCGAGCGAACAGACGAGGAGCUUGCUCCUCUGACGUUAGCGGCGGACGGGUGAGUAACACGUGGAUAACCUACCUAUAAGACUGGGAUAACUUCGGGAAACCGGAGCUAAUACCGGAUAAUAUAUUGAACCGCAUGGUUCAAUAGUGAAAGACGGUUUUGCUGUCACUUAUAGAUGGAUCCGCGCCGCAUUAGCUAGUUGGUAAGGUAACGGCUUACCAAGGCGACGAUGCGUAGCCGACCUGAGGGGGGGUAGCCCCCCCUGGGACGUGAGCAGCGGCCCAGGCCCUAAGGGGGGGCCCAGGUGGGUACGCGUCGGAACAGGGGGAAAGCUUGCAGGACGAGCGCAGGGGGGGUGAAGAAGGGCUGCGGGCGGGAAAACGUUUUUAUGGGGGAAAAACAAAUUUGAAAGUAACUAAGCGCGUGUGACGGGAACCGAUAAAGAAGCCCCGGCUAACUACGUG
rnacentral:rRNA from 1 species